UACGGGGGGGGUAAGCGUUGUUCGGAUUUACUGGGCGUAAAGGGCGCGUAGGCGGCCACCGCAAGUCAGUUGUGAAAUCUCUGGGCUUAACCCGGAAAGGUCAGCCGAUACUGCGGGGCUAGAGUGCAGAAGGGGCAACUGGAAUUCUCGGUGUAGCGGUGAAAUGCGUAGAUAUCGAGAGGAACACCUGCGGCGAAGGCGGGUUGCUGGGCUGACACUGACGCUGAGGCGCGAAAGCUAGGGGAGCGAACGGG
rnacentral:rRNA from 1 species